rnacentral:rRNA from 1 species
ACAGGUGGUGCAUGGUUGUCGUCAGCUCGUGUCGUGAGAUGUUGGGUUAAGUCCCGCAACGAGCGCAACCCUUGUCGCUAGUUACCAUCAUUCAGUUGGGGACUCUAGCGAGACUGCCGAUGCAAGUCGGAGGAAGGUGGGGAUGACGUCAAAUCAGCAUGCCCUUUAUGUCCUGGGCAACACACGUGCUACAAUGGCCGAUACAAAGAGACGCAAGAUCGCGAGAUGGAGCAAAUCCCAUAAAAUCGGUCUCAGUUCAGAUUGGAGUCUGCAAUUCGACUCCAUGAAGGCGGAAUUACUAGUAAUCGCGAAUCAGCAUGUCGCGGUGAAUACGUUCCCGGGGUUUGUACACACCGCCCGUCAAACCAUGAGAGGUGGUAAUACCUGAAGCCGCUGGCCUAACCGUAAGGAGGGAGGCGUCUAGGGUAGGACUGCUGAUUGGGGUUAAGUCGUAACAAGGUAUCCCUACGAGAACGUGGGGAUGGAUCACCUCCUUU